UUCAACCCCUUCCCCUAGACUAUCUAUCAGUUUCACCAAUGCUAAAUCUCACUCUCUAUUUACUGAAACCAAUUUGGCUGGCCAAAAUUCUUAUUCAUCUGCAUGGCAAAGAGUUAUCGUUUCAAGAUUAUCGGGUUGGAUGUGUGCACGUGUCAAAACAAACCCACCUUGUUUAAAAUGACCCCAUCACCAUGUACCACAUUCAUUAUGUUUGAUGGCUCUCCAACUAAGGAAUACUUGCAUUUGCCACUUUCAUUUCCAGCCAAAGAGAGAUUUUUCAAGGAGGGUAUUUAAUCUAAUCUCUAUAAGCACCACAACUUGUUUUAUUUUGUCAUAAAACUGGGGCCUUUGUUGUAGUAAAAGACAGUGUUCAAAGCUGAUUUCCAUGACCUAUAAGAACAAUGAGUACUGGAUUACAAAUUGAAACAAUUCUUAUAUCCAUGAUGAAAAAAAAAUAUAGAUAGGACAAAAUAUUGAUGGAGAAAGGGGAAAAACAAACAUGAAGAAAAAAGAAAUAGAUAAUAAAAAAUUAAAAAACAAAGACAUAAAAACUGACAUGAAGAAAAACGAUAUGCAACAAUAAAUUCACGCAUUGCCUUGUAAAUGUUACUAAAAUAUAAAAACUUUACGUAGUUUAUAGGUAAUAAUUGGAAUGUUGCAUAAAGUUUUUAUAUUUUAAUAAUCUUUACGGGCAAUGCUUGAAUUUACUGUUGCAUAAUGUUUAAUCUUCAUAUCUAUGUUUGUGUCUUUAUUUUUUUAUUAUCUAUUUCGUAUUUGUUCAUGUCUGUUUUCCCCUUUCAUCCAUUUUUUUUUCCAUCUCUGUUGUUUUUUUCAUCAUGGAAAUAAGAAGUGUUUCAGUUUGUAAUCCAAUAAUCAUUGUUCUUAUAGGCCAUGGAAAUCAGUUUUGAACAAGAAUUUUCAAACAAUGAUGAUUGCCUUUUACUACAACAAAUGCCACAAUUUUAUGAUAGAAUGAAACAUGUUGUGGUGCUUAUAGAGACUAUAUUAAUACCCUCCCUGAAAAAUCCCUCUUUGGCUGGAAAUGAGAGUGGCAAAUGGAAUUAUUCAUUAGUUGGAGAGCCAUCAAACAUAAUGAAUGUGGUACAUGGUGGUGUGAUCAUUUUAAAUGAAGUCGGUUUGUUUUGACAUUUGCACACAUCCAACCCGAUAUUCUUGAAACGAUAACUCUUCGCUGUGUAGAUGAAGAAGAAUUUUGGCUAGCUGAAUUGGUUUUGGUAAGUAAAGAAUGAGAUUUAGCAUUGGUGAAGGUGAUAGAUAGUCUAUGAGAAGGGGUUGAAUUUAACUUUGCCAAGUUUGGCGAUGAAGAUUUUAUUGACUUAAGAACGGAAGUUUAUGUUAUAUGUCACCCGGUUGACCUAUGUUAUAGCUAAGUCGUAGGACAAGUUGCCUUUCCAUGUAAAAAUGCUCUUCCUCCUUCAAGUCCAAAUCAAGCGGCAAGAGAUACUCGAAGUCUUAGUGUUUUUCUCCUAGGUCUACAACUCCAAACUAGAGGAUGGUUGGAGAUGUAAUUAACCAAGGAAGAUGUUGACCUUGCUGACCUACACAAGAAGUUAAACGUGAUUCAAAUCAGUAAUUUUCACAGCAUGAUUGGGUCAUUUGGUGCACCUAUCUUUGAUUCGCAUGGAAGGGUGGUAAGCGUAUAUAGCUUUAUCUUGAAUAAUUUUGACUUAGGUGUUCACUUAAGUAGUUUAAGAAAGUUGUGUCAAUAUUGCUUACCUCAGCCUUUGACAAAAUGCAAGGUCAAAGACAAAGGUAAAAGGAGAAUGCAUUCUCUAUGGAUUGGCAGCGAGGGGAGAAAGGGGCGUAGGAACUUGUCCAUAUCCAACAAAGAAAGAGAUACAAAUGCAAAGUACAUUACCCCUACAAAAAAAGCAAAAUAUCAGCAAAAAUAGAACAAGAAUGACUAAAAUUAGCAACAUUCAUGGAAGUAGAUCAUUUCCAAUAGCUUCUUAAAUUCCAUGUUCACAAUAUCCAUUGACACCCCCUUGUAUGAUUCAAUCAAAACAACUGCCUACGCCCCUUUCCCCUGUUGCUAAUCCAUAGAGAAUGCAUUUUCCUUCAGCAAUCUUGUCAGAAUUUUCUUAAACUACUUAAAUGAAUACCGAAGUAAAAUACGCCUAUCACCCUUCCAUGCGAAUCAAAGAUAGGCUCCCCAAAUGACCCAAUCAUACUAUGAAAAUUAUUGAUUUGAAUCACGUUCAACUUCUUUCUUGGUUAAUUAUAUCUCCAAUCAUCCCGUAGUUUGGAGUUGAGUUGUAGACCUAGGAGAAACACUAUGACUCUGAGUAUCUUGCAGCUCGAUCUGGACUUGGAGGAGGAGCAUUUUUACAUCUAAAGGCAACUUGUCCUAUGACCAAGCUAUAAUAUAGGUCAGCUAGGUGAGAUACAGCAUAAACUUUCAUUUCUAAGUCAAUAAAAUCUUCAUUGCCAAACUUGGCAAAGUUAAAUUCAACCCCUUCCCCAAGACUAUCUAUCAGUUUCACCAAUGCUAAAUCUCACUCUCUAUUUACUGAAACCAAUUUGGCUAGCCAAAAUUCUUAUUCAUCUGCAUGGCGAAGAGUUAUCGUUUCAAGAUUAUCGGGUUGGAUGUGUGCACAUGUCAAAACAAACCCACCUUGUUUAAAAUGACCCCAUCACCAUGUACCACAUUCAUUAUGUUUGAUGGCUCUCCAACUAAGGAAUACUUGCAUUUGCCACUCUCAUUUCCAGCCAAAGAUAGAUUUUUCAAGGAGGGUAUUUAAUCUAAUCUCUAUAAGCACCACAACUUGUUUUAUUUUAUCAUAAAACUGGGGCCUUUGUUGUAGUAAAAGACAGUGUUCAAAGCUGAUUUCCAUGACCUAUAAGAACAAUGAGUACUGGAUUACAAAUUGAAACAAUUCUUAUAUCCCUGAUGGAAAAAAAAUAUAGAUAGGACAAAAUAUUGAUGGAGAAAGGGGAAAAACAAACAUGAAGAAAAAAGAAAUAGAUAAUAAAAAAUUAAAAAACAAAGACAUAAAAACAGACAUGAAAAACGAUAUGCAGCAAUAAAUUCACGCAUUGCCCUGUAAAUGUUACUAAAAUAUAAGAACUUUAUGUAGUUUAUAGGUAAUAAUUGGAAUGUUGCAUAAAGUUUUUAUAUUUUAAUAAUCUUUACGGGCAAUGCUUGAAUUUACUGUUGCAUAAUCUUUAAUCUUCAUAUCUAUGUUUGCGUGUCUUUAUUUUUUUAUUAUCUAUUUCGUUUGUGUUCAUUUCUGUUUUCCCCUUUCAUCCAUUUUUUUUCCGUCUCUGUUGUUUUUUUCAUCAUGGAAAUAGGAAGUGUUUCAGUUUGUAAUCCAAUAAUCAUUGUUCUUAUAGGCCAUGGAAAUCAGUUUUGAACAAGAAUUUUCAAACGAUGAUGAUUGCCUUUUACUACAACAAAGGCCACAUUGUUAUGAUAGAAUGAAACAGGUUGUGGUACUUAUAGAGACUAGACUAAUACUUUACUUGAAAAAUCCUUCUUUGGCUGGAAAUGAGAGUGGCAAAUGUAAGUAUUCAUUAGUUGGAGAGCCAUCAAGCAUAAUGAAUGUGGUACAUGGUGGUGGGGUCAUUUUAAAUAAAGUGGGUUUGUUUUGACAUGUGCACACAUCCAACCCGAUAAUCUUGAAACGAUAACUGUUCGCCGUGUAGAUGAAGAAGAAUUUUGGCUAGCCAGAUUGGUUUCAGUAAAUAGAGAAUGAGAUUUAGCAUUGGUGAAAGUGAUAGAUAGUCUAGGAGAAGGGGUUGAAUUUAACUUUGCCAAGUUUGGCAAUGACGAUUUUAUUGACUUAAAAAUGGAAGUUUAUGCUAUAUCACCCUCUUGACCUAUAUUAUAGCUUGGUCGUAGGAUAAGUUGCUUUUCCGUGUAAAAAUGCUUCUCCUCCUUCAAGUCCAGAUCAAGCGGCAAGAGAUACUCGGAGUCUUAGUGUUUUUCUCCUAGGUCUACAACUCCAAACUAGAGGAUGGUUGGAGAUGUAAUUAACCAAGAAAAAAUGUUGACCUUAAGUUAAACGUGAUUCAAAUCAAUAAUUUUCACAGCAUGAUUGGGUCAUUUGGGGCACCUAUCUUUGAUUCGCAUAAGGGUGGUAAGCGUAUAUAGCUUUAUCUUGAAUAAUUUUGACUUAGGUGUUCACUUAAGUAGUUUAAGAAAGUUGUGUCAAUAUUGCUUGCCUCAGCCUUUGACAAAAUGCAAGGUCAAAGGUAAAAGGAAAAUGCAUUCUCUAUGGAUUAGCAGCGGGGGGAGAAAGGGGUGUAAGUACUUGUUUUGUUGGAAUCAUUCAAGGUGGUUUCAAAGGAUAUUGUGAACACGGAAUUCAAGAAGCUGUUGGAAAUGAUCUACUUCUAUGAAUGUUGCUGAUUUUGGUCAUUGUUAUUCUAUUUUUGUUGAUAUUUUGCUAUUAUUAUGGGGUGGUUGUAUUUUGCUAUUGUUAUGGGUACAUGUACUUUGCAUUUAUAUCUCUUUCUUUGUUGGAUGUUUCUUGUAUGGACAAGUGCUAAUAUUAGUUUUUGUUUUUGUUGCUUAUAAAAAAUAGUAAUAUGUCAUGAAAAUUGAUAGGUAUGAAAAUUUUAUUUUGGUGUCUUUAUUGAUAAUUUAUAAGGGCCUGAAAUGUUGUUGGUGUAAGUUUUCUGAAUGAAACUAUUUAUUCAAUUGUAUCUUAUUUACAAAGAGUCAUCAAUUUAUAUAAACCUAUGACUGAAAACGGAAAUACAACUAAUUCAAAUAUUUACACCACAAUUGUUCCUAGUUCCUAAUUCCUAAUAUACCCAAUCAUGCCAAAUUGAGAAUAUACACAACAUAUUCUCACUUCCCCGCUCAAACUCAAGGUGUUGUAGUAGAAAAUAUUGAAAGUUUGUCAAGAAGAAAUUGAAACCGAGCGGUAGUGUGAGUCUUGGUGAAGAAGUUCGUAAGUUGCAAAGCCAAAGAGACAAGGAAGCGAGAUAGAGCCAGACUACAGAUGUUGUCGGACAAAAUGACAAUCAAUCUCAAUGUGUUUCGUCCAUUCAUGGAAGACAAUAUUGUGGGCAAUCCAAAUAGCACUGCAGUUAUCACAAUAGAGGGAGGUCGGAGAAGACUGAGGGACACCCAAAUCAGAUAAGAGACAACGAAGCCAAACAAUCUCAGCAGUAGCAUGAGCCAUAGCACAGUACUCAGCUUCGGCAGCAAAGCGAGCAACAACAAUUUGUUUCUUGUUUUUCCUAGAGAUCAAGGAAUUGCUAAGAAACAUGCAGAAACUAGACGUAGACUUGUAAUCAGUAACAUUACUAGCGCAAUCAGAAUUAGCAUAAGCCACCAAAUCUAGAGAAGAAGUAGAGGAUAAUAGUAAAUCCUGAAACAUAGAACCUCGAAGAUAGUGAAGAAUCCGAACCAAUGCAGCCCAAUGUGUGGAGCGAGGAGCAGAAACAAACUGGCUAACCACAUGAACAACAUAGGCAAGAUCAGGAUGAGUAACCGCCAGAUAGGCUAAGCAAUCCACAAGCUUGUGAUAUGAAGUGGGAUCAUCUAGAGAGACACCAUCAGUAGAGUUGAGCUUCACAUUUAGCUUAGUAGGUGUAUCAGAAACCUUAGUAUCAGUGAGACCAGCACAGUGAAUGACCUAAUUAGCAUACUUAGCCUAAGAUAGAAAAUAGCCCUUUGGAGAAAAAGUAAUCUCAAUACCAAGAAAAUACUGCAAUGGACCCAGAUCUUUCAUCUCGAAGGUGCGGAAGAGAUGCUGCUUGACCUCAGAGAUAGCAGAAGAGUUAGUGAUGAUCAUAUCAUCCACAUAUAGUAAGAGAGCAACAAAACCAGCCGACGUAUGUCACAGAAACAAAGCAGAGUCAGAUGCAGAAGGAUGAAAUCCAAGCUUAGUAAUAGCAGUCUGAAAAUGACCAUACCAAGUACGAGGAGAUUACUUCAAACCAUAUAGAGCGCGCCGAAGACAACAAAUCUGUCCUGAGGAUUGGGAAAGGCUAGGGGGUGGACGUAUGUAGACCUCAGUGAGAUGACCAUUAAGAAAAGCAUUCUUAACGUCCAUUUGAUAGAGGGAGCAAUGUCGAAUAACGGCAACAAAAAUCAAGGUACGGACAGUAGUCAUCUUGGCAAUAGAGGUAAACGUCUCAUCAUAAUCAAUAUCGUACUCCUACAAGAAACCCUUGGCAAUUGGGCGAGCUUUGUUUCGCUCGAGAGAACCAUCAAAAUGAGUCUCAACUUUAUAGACCCAUUUACAACCAACUAGAUUCUUGCCAGCAGGCAACGGGACAAACGCCCAACUAUUAGUCUUCUGUAAGGCAAACAACUCAUCCUUCAUAGCUCGAACCUAAUUGGGAUCCUGACAGGCCUCCUUUUAAGACUGAGGUUCUAAAAAAAAAAAAUGAAUAGUAGACAAAAAAGUACGAUAGGAAGCAGAAAAACUUAUAUGAGACCAACCGAACCUGUUUGGAGGAUGACGCUCUCUAGUAAGAUAUCUGUGUGCAGUAGGAUCAGAGUUGUCAAAAGCAAAAGGGUCAACAGUAGGGGCAAAGACAACUGGUGGAGGGAGAGUUUGGCGACGAGAAUAAACUAGCCAUGGAGGAGGAGGAGGAGUAGGCUGGGGAGAAGGAGGAGAAACAGAGCAGAUUCAUGGGGUUCAGUGGAAAAAGAGGGAACAAAUUCAGGGGGAACAGUAGAGAUGUACUCAUCAAGAGGGACUUCAAAAGGAAAAGCUUUGAUACCAAAUUGAAAAGCCCAACCCACACUUCACCUUAAAACCCAGGUAUUAAGGAGAGGGAAUCUAGAGGCUUAUAACUGGCACAGAUUGGGCAACUCCAAACAAUGUGGGACAUAUUCUAACACACCCACCUGGAGGACAACAUAUACUAGCCAGACAAAUGGUACACCAAUCACAAGCCCAACCAAGCUCUGAUACCAUGUAAGUUUUCUGAAUGAAACUGUAUAUUCAAUUGUAUCUUAUUUACAAAGAGUUCGUCAGUUUAUAUAACCCUAAACCUAUGACUAAAAAAGAAAUACAGCUAAUUUAAAUAUUUACACCACAAUCGUUCCUAAUUCCUAAUAUACAUAAUCAUGCCAAAUUGAGAAUAUACACAAUAUAUUUUCACAACUGGCCUCUUCAAGGUCAACUAAUUUCAGCUAAAGCUUAUUGCUUGUGUUCAUUUAAAUUCUUUUUCGAGGGAUACCUAGAUUGAUUAGUGUUGUUAGUAGCUACAUAUACAUUAGGGGUGAUGUUAGAAGCAUCUAUCCUUAGAUUUUUCUCAUUAUACUAAAUUUUACUCUUUGCAUUUGUCACUUGGUAAGUGAUAGUGAGUUGUGUUCAUGCUUAUACUUGAUUUGGUAUACAAUUGCUUGUUUGUUUGAAUCAAGUGAUAUCUUUCAAAUGUGCAACUAAAUUCUUCAGUGCUAUGGAGUCAAAUGCUCAAUGUUUACAUAUUUAGGUUUAACUUGCUGGACUCUUCAAUUGGUAGGUCAACUAAUUUUAGCUAAAGCUUAUUGCUUUUGUUCAUUUAAAUUCUUUUUUGAGGGAUACCUAGAUUGGUUAGUGUUGUUAGUAGCUACAUAUACAUUAGGGAUGAUAUUAGAAGCAUCUAUCUUUACAUUUUUUUCAUUAUACUAUAUUUUACUCUUUGCAUUUGUCACUUGUUAAGUGAUAUUUAGUUGUGUUCAUGUUUAUACUUGAUUUGGUAUACAAUAGCUUGUUUGUUUGAAUCCUGUGAUAUCUUUCAAAUGUGCAACUAAAUUCUUCAGUGCUAUGGAGUCAAAUGCUCAAUGUUUUAGUACAAAUUUUGGUUUUAACUUACUCUCUCUCAUGUUAUAUACUCUUGAAAAUCAAUCAAAUAUCCAUGUUGAAUACCCGAUACUAGAACGAGGGUGUGACAUAUAUAUCAAAUACUUUCCAUUAGACACUUUUUAUAUAUUUAAUGCUAUCACUAUAUGUAAAUAUGUUAUUGUAUAAUUAUUAUAAAAUAAGUUAACUAUAUAAUUAAUUAAUUUUAUCAAAAUAUCAUUAAUUUUUACUGAUUUGACAUAUUCUUCAAUUUAAAGUGCCUCCAGUUUUUUUUUUUUCUUUUUUUUGAGAAACAAAGUGCCUCUAGUUACCAUAUGAGUUACCAUAAAAAUUAUUAUUUUUAUUUGAAAAACUAAUAAAACUUUAAUAAAGUAAAAUUUAUAAAAAAAAUAAAUAAUAUGACAUAAAAUAAAAAUGUUAAUUUAACAAGCAUAACAUCUUUUUUACAUCUAUAAAGAAUUAGGACCAAUUUUACCCCAAAUUAAAAUUUCCUCCAAAAUUUUGGCCAAAUCCCUCCUAAAUUCUUGAACCCUGAAGGACCCUCUCCUGGAUUACCUCUCUCUUUUCCUUCUCUCUCUAAUUCCUGUCUUUCUCACACAAUCACUUAGUAACUCCUUCCUCUCAUCCCUCUCUCACGGUCCCACGACAUUUUCUUUUGGGAUAUUUUCUUCGUCAUUUAUCUCAUGCCACUGCUGUAACGCCGAAAUCCAAGCCACUGUGAAUUGAACAACUUCGACCAUUACGAUUUUGCAGUUGUGUCCUCACCAGGCAACUCUCUCUCUCUCUCUCUCUCUCUCUCUCUCUCUCACUCUCAAUUUCUAAACCCUAACUAUAUAUAUGUUUUCUGCAGUUGCAUAUUCUCACCAGCUUAUUGUUCUUCUUUCAAAUCGACAGAUUAGAUGUGGUGUUUGAAGCAAAAUAUUCUCUAUUUCAUGAAUGAGUUCCGGUUGCUUCCAUAUACAAUUUGGUAUUACUUUUUUCUUGGGUACUUGAAAGGAUGUCAGGUGACAACGAUGCUCAAAUGGAAGCAAGGUUGGGGCUUGAAAUCUAGUGAAUUUGCUACUCCUUACAACUGCAAGACCAAGGUGGCCUCCAUUGAUUCUAUUUUCCUUACGAUUAAUCAUGGGUGUUUACUUCUACGGAAUAAUAUGGGACAAGGUUGGGAAAUUGGUAGAGGUGGUUGUGAUAAGAGAAAAAGGCGAUGCCCCUUUGAAUCUAACCAUGGUUGUUGUUGAUACUAGUCCCGAUAAAUUUAACAGAGAAGUUUAGGUAAUCAAAUGGUUGCCACCGUUACCGUCAAAAUAUUGCCGCCAAAGGUUUUUCAAGAUUUUGAGGGUGGGUAGAUUUUGAAGGUGGGAUUUGGGAAAGAUGGAUGGGUGGUGAUGGAGGUGGCUGCUCCCGGAUAAAUCAAUGUCAUCUGUUUAAAAGAAUUCGAUUUCGAUAAUAUGUAUGAACACAAGUCUAGGGAAUUAUUGAAUGUGAUGUUUACUUUGUGCAUGAAAAAAAAAAAAAAAAAUUGUACAAUUGUAAAUAGUUUAUAUUUUUCACCCUUAUUUGUUUUGUAUAUAAGGAAAUUUACCUAUAAAUCUCAUCUUGAGAAAUAAUGAUUCAUUUAGUCUCAAAUUUUUUUUU